rnacentral:lncRNA from 1 species
GUGAAGAGACAUGAUCAGACUUUUGAGUUGAGUAUCUGAUUGCAACUCUAUACGUUCCAUUUGCAAGCUUGCAGGCAAUGUAUUUCUAUCAAAUGAAAGCGGUCUUGCAAACAUACAUUGGUGAUCUUUCUGGCAGUCUUGAAACCUGUUCUCAAACUCCUUUAUCAAACCGGCUGCGUGCCCUUAGCCGUUCAGAGCACCGCACUGAAAUGCGAACAGUCGCUGGUCAGCACCACACGGCCCUGCCCUCCCGCUGCCAGCGGGCACGGCGUUAACCGGGCGCUGGCGGUUGGUUGUUGCCGAGCGACGGGCGCGUACCCGGGGCUGCUCAGGUGAGGAGGCGCCGCCAUGAUGGCGCGGGGCGGCUGCCUUGUGAGCUGUGGCGGGCUGCACGUGGCUGUGCUGGGGGAGCUCGGAGCUCUUUCCUGCUAACCUCAGAGGUUCUCGUAGCUGUGAAAACGGCCUUCGUGUACAUAUGGCGUUCAGAUUGCUUUAAGUCGCGGUCUGAACGCGCACCAACGAUGAGGCGCUGUGAUUCCUUUUGUUGGGAAACAAAGGACUGGGAUUACGUAGCGGGUCAGCGUUGCACGGCCGCCAGAAGGAGCGGAGGUGACUGCGGAGUGAGCUGCAAAUGGCGAGCAUACAUACUUAGACAGCUCUGGGGACCUUGGACCUGGACACUGGAUGAAGACUCUGCCAUAUUGGAUAUGCCUCUAACCAUGAGAUUGCUGGUGGCAAAGAGAAAAGGGAUGCAGUGUGGAGGCAGCAGAUAACGUAUGUGUAAA